UAAAGUUCUUUUUUUAAACAUUUCAAAGACGUAGAAACAAGAAGCAGAGGUACAAACAAGAAAGAAGGAAAAAUCUACCAACCUGAAAUUGUGCCAGACAAAAAAGGAAUUCUUCAGUUUUUGGAGGAGAAAAUGAUAGACGUUCAAUAUAAAACGGCAAGAACAAAAUUAACGAACGAAAGAACUAAAAUUCUGAACAAUAAAAAUCGUCGUUUGAAAGAUUUAAACAUGAUAGAGUAGAACCCGUUUAAUUAUUUGUAACAUGAUAGAGUAGAGCCCGUUCAAUUAUUUGUAACAUGAUAGAGUA